UUAAUAGUUAUUUUAAUUUUUUUGGUAAGGGUUUAUAUGUAAAAUGUUUUUUUUAUUAUUUUUAGGUGAAAUUUAAAUUGUAAUUUUAAUUUUAUUAUGAGGCCUUAAAGUUAAUUUUUAAACUAGGAUUAGAUACCCUAUUAUUAUAAUUUUUUUGUUACCUUAUUAUUAAUAGUUAAGUUCUUUAAAAUAAAAAAAUUUGGCGGUAUUCUAAUUUUAUUAGAGGAACCUGUUUUUUAAUUGAUGAUCCACGAUUAAAUUUACUUAUUUUUAGUUUUCAUAUCGUUGUAAAAAUUAAAUUUAUAGAUUAUAGUUUUUAUUCUUUAUUUAGAGAAAAUUCAGAUCAAGGUGUAGCUUAUAAAUAAGUUUAAAUGGGUUACAAUAUAAUUAUAUUGGGAUUAUAAUUUUUGUAAUUAUAUGAAUAUGGAUUUAAAAGUAAUUUUUAAUUUUUUUAAUAAUGAUUAUUUUUAAAAU
rnacentral:rRNA from 1 species